rnacentral:rRNA from 1 species
AGAUUGAACGCUGGCGGCAGGCCUAACACAUGCAAGUCGAGCGGCAGCACGGGUACUUGUACCUGGUGGCGAGCGGCGGACGGGUGAGUAAUGCCUAGGAAUCUGCCUGAUAGUGGGGGAUAACGUUCGGAAACGGACGCUAAUACCGCAUACGUCCUACGGGAGAAAGUGGGGGAUCUUCGGACCUCACGCUAUCAGAUGAGCCUAGGUCGGAUUAGCUAGUUGGUAGGGUAAAGGCCUACCAAGGCUACGAUCCGUAACUGGUCUGAGAGGAUGAUCAGUCACACUGGAACUGAGACACGGUCCAGACUCCUACGGGAGGCAGCAGUGGGAAUAUUGGACAAUGGGCGAAAAGCCUGAUCCAGCCAAUGCCGCGUGUGUGAAGAAGGUCUUCGGAUUGUAAAAGCACUUAAGUUGGAGAAGGCAUUAACCUAAUACGUUAGUGUUUUGACGUUACGACAGAAUAAAGCACGGCUAACUCUGUGCCAGCAGCCGCGGUAA